rnacentral:rRNA from 1 species
GAUGAACGCUGGCGGCGUGCCUAAUACAUGCAAGUCGAGCGAACAGACGAGGAGCUUGCUCCUCUGACGUUAGCGGCGGACGGGUGAGUAACACGUGGAUAACCUCCCUAUAAGACUGGGAUAACUUCGGGAAACCGGAGCUAAUACCGGAUAAUAUAUUGAACCGCAUGGUUCAAUAGUGAAAGACGGUUUUGCUGUCACUUAUAGAUGGAUCCGCGCCGCAUUAGCUAGUUGGUAAGGUAACGGCUUACCAAGGCAACGAUGCGUAGCCGACCUGAGAGGGUGAUCGGCGACACUGGAACGGAGACACGGUCCAGACUCCUACGGGAGGCAGCAGUAGGGAAUCGUCCGCAGUGGGCGAAAGCCUGACGGAGCAACGCCGCGUGAGUGAUGAAGGUCUUCGGAUCGUAAAACUCUGUUAUUAGGGAAGAACAAAUGUGUAAGUAACUAUGCACGUCUUGACGGUACCUAAUCAGAAAGCCACGGCUAACUACGUG